rnacentral:rRNA from 1 species
UACGUAGGGGGCAAGCGUUGUCCGGAUUUAUUGGGCGUAAAGAGCGUGUAGGCGGCCUGGACGGUCAGCUGUGAAAACUCGAGGCUCAACCUCGAGACGUCGGUUGAAACCACCUGGCUAGAGUCCGGAAGAGGAGAGUGGAAUUCCCGGUGUAGCGGUGAAAUGCGCAGAUAUCGGGAAGAACACCCGUGGCGAAGGCGGCUCUCUGGGACGGUACUGACGCUGAGACGCGAAAGCGUGGGGAGCGAACAGG